rnacentral:rRNA from 1 species
AUUGAACGCUGGCGGCAGGCCUAACACAUGCAAGUCGAACGAGUGGCGGACGGGUGAGUAAUGUCUGGGAAACUGACCGAUGGAGGGGGAUAACUACUGGAAACGGUAGCUACUCCCGCAUACCAUCGGAUGUGCCCAGAUGGGAUUAGCUAGUAGGUGGGGUAAAGGCUAACCUAGGCGACGAUCCCUAGCUGGUCUGAGAGGAUGACCAGCCACACUUGAACUGAGCAACGGUCCAAGCUCCUACGGGGGGCAGCAGUGGGGAAUGUUGCACAAUGGGCGCAAGCCGGAUGCAGCCAUGCCGCGUGUAUGAAGAAGACCUUCGGGUUGUAAAGUACUUUCAGCGGGAAGGCGUUACCCGCAGAAGAAGCACCGGCUAACUCCGUGCCAGCCGCCGCGGUAAUAC